GCCUUCGUGGUGUAGUGGUCAGCACGCUGGGCGCGUAUUCCAGAGGUCUGUGGUUCGAGUCCCGGCGAAGACG
rnacentral:tRNA from 1 species